GUCGAGCGGCAGCGGGAGGUGCUUGCACCUCGCCGGCGAGCGGCGGACGGGUGAGUAAUGCAUAGGAAUCUGCCCGGUAGUGGGGGAUAACCUGGGGAAACUCAGGCUAAUACCGCAUACGUCCUACGGGAGAAAGCAGGGGAUCUUCGGACCUUGCGCUAUCGGAUGAGCCUAUGCCGGAUUAGCUAGUUGGUAGGGUAAUGGCCUACCAAGGCGACGAUCCGUAGCUGGUCUGAGAGGAUGAUCAGCCACACUGGGACUGAGACACGGCCCAGACUCCUACGGGAGGCAGCAGUGGGGAAUAUUGGACAAUGGGCGAAAGCCUGAUCCAGCCAUGCCGCGUGUGUGAAGAAGGCUUUCGGGUUGUAAAGCACUUUCAGUGGGGAAGAAAGCCUGUCGGCUAAUACCCGGCAGGAACGACAUCACCCACAGAAGAAGCACCGGCUAACUCCGUGCCAGCAGCCGCGGUAAUACGGAGGGUGCGAGCGUUAAUCGGAAUUACUGGGCGUAAAGCGCGCGUAGGCGGCGUGAUAAGCCGGUUGUGAAAGCCCCGGGCUCAACCUGGGAACGGCAUCCGGAACUGUCAGGCUAGAGUGCAGGAGAGGAAGGUAGAAUUCCCGGUGUAGCGGUGAAAUGCGUAGAGAUCGGGAGGAAUACCAGUGGCGAAGGCGGCCUUCUGGACUGACACUGACGCUGAGGUGCGAAAGCGUGGGUAGCAAACAGGAUUAGAUACCCUGGUAGUCCACGCCGUAAACGAUGUCGACUAGCCCUUGGGAGCCUCGAGUUCUUAGUGGCGCAGUUAACGCGAUAAGUCGACCGCCUGGGGAGUACGGCCGCAAGGUUAAAACUCAAAUGAAUUGACGGGGGCCCGCACAAGCGGUGGAGCAUGUGGUUUAAUUCGAUGCAACGCGAAGAACCUUACCUACCCUUGACAUCCUCGGAAUCCGCCAGAGAUGGCGGAGUGCCUUCGGGAGCCGAGUGACAGGUGCUGCAUGGCUGUCGUCAGCUCGUGUUGUGAAAUGUUUGGGUUAAGUCCCGUAACGAGCGCAACCCUUGUCCCUAUUUGCCAGCGAUUCGGUCGGGAACUCUUGGGGAGACUGCCGGUGACAAACCCGAAGA
rnacentral:rRNA from 1 species